rfam:Solanum tuberosum cultivar DM 1-3 516 R44 scf00004_99, whole genome shotgun sequence.
AUACUUACCUGGACGGGGUCAAUGGGUGAUCAUGAAGGCCCAUGGCCUAGGUUGGUGACCUUCAUUGCACUUAGAAGGGGCGCCCGCCUAAGGUCGGCCCAAGUGGUCGAGCCUACGUCAUAAUUUGUUGCUGAGGGGGCCUGCGUUCGCGCGGCCCCUAC